CCUACGGGCGGCAGCAGUGAGGAAUAUUGGUCAAUGGACGCAAGUCUGAACCAGCCAUGCCGCGUGCAGGAAGACGGCUCUAUGAGUUGUAAACUUCUUUUGUAAGAGGGUAAACGCAGAUACGCGUAUCUGUCUGAAAGUAUCGUACGAAUAAGGAUCGGCUAACUCCGUGCCAGCAGCCGCGGUAAUACGGAGGAUUCAAGCGUUAUCCGGAUUUAUUGGGUUUAAAGGGUGCGUAGGCGGUCGGAUAAGUUAGAGGUGAAAUCCCGAGGCUCAACUUCGGAAUUGCCUCUGAUACUGUUCGGCUAGAGUGUAGUUGCGGUAGGCGGAAUGUAUGGUGUAGCGGUGAAAUGCUUAGAGAUCAUACAGAACACCGAUUGCGAAGGCAGCUUACCAAGCUACUUCUGACGUUGAGGCACGAAAGCGUGGGGAGCGAACAGGAUUAGAUACCCUGGUAGUC
rnacentral:rRNA from 1 species